CAGGACAUCAAGAAACUAGAUCGUGAUUAUUGGGAGAAUGGGUUGACAGCAAUGGAGUGUGCCUUGCACCUGGAAAAGAAUGUGAACCAGUCACUCCUUGAUCUGCACAAGCGGGCAACUGACAAGAAUGACCCUCAUUUGUGAUAGGAAGAGCAUC